AUCCCCUUUCUUCCCCAUUCUGAUGCUCGGUUUGAACUUCAGCAAGUCCUCUUUGCCACGUCUAGAUGCCUAAAUGCAUUGAGUUGCCGCCAUGUGAUUGGCCGAUUAGCAAUUUGUUUUACCAAGCGAUUGAUCAGGUGUACGUAAUAAAGUGGCCGGUGAGUCUAUACGAGGCAUACGGAGGAUCACCA